rnacentral:rRNA from 1 species
AGUCUGCAACUCGACUACAUGAAGCUGGAAUCGCUAGUAACCGCGAAUCAGAAUGUCGCGGUGAAUACGUUCCCGGGUCUUGUACACACCGCCCGUCACACCAUGGGAGUCAGUAACGCCCGAAGCCGGUGACCCAACCGAUAAGGAGGGAGCCGUCGAAGGUGGGACCGAUAACUGGGGUGAAGUCGUAACAAGGUAUC